rnacentral:rRNA from 1 species
UGCGUGGAGCCAACCUUGAAAUACCACCCUUUAAUGUUUGAUGUUCUAACGUUGCCCCAUUAUCUGGGGUGCGGACAGUGUCUGGUGGGUAGUUUGACUGGGGCGGUCUCCUCCCAAAGAGUAACGGAGGAGCACGAAGGUUGGCUAAGCAUGGUCGGACAUCAUGCGGUUAGUGCAAAGGCAUAAGCCAGCUUGACUGCGAGAGUGACGGCUCGAGCAGGUACGAAAGUAGGUCUUAGUGAUCCGGUGGUUCUGAAUGGAAGGGCCAUCGCUCAACGGAUAAAAGGUACUCCGGGGAUAACAGGCUGAUACCGCCCAAGAGUUCAUAUCGACGGCGGUGUUUGGCACCUCGAUGUCGGCUCAUCACAUCCUGGGGCUGAAGUAGGUCCCAAGGGUACGGCUGUUCGCCGUUUAAAGUGGUACGCGAGCUGGGUUUAGAACGUCGUGAGACAGUUCGGUCCCUAUCUGCCGUGGGCGUUGGAAGAUUGAAAGGGGCUGCUCCUAGUACGAGAGGACCGGAGUGGACGCACCACUGGUGUUCGGGUUGUCAUGCCAAUGGCAUUGCCCGGUAGCUAAGUGCGGAAGAGAUAACCGCUGAAAGCAUCUAAGCGGGAAACUUGCC